rnacentral:antisense_RNA from 1 species
GCAACUGAUGCAUCUUCUAACCAGGCUGGGAACACAACACGCGCACACGCGCACACACACACGCACGCACCCACCCCACCCGGCUGCCGGACGCAAGCGUAAGUCAAGGCACUUGCAUGUUAGAAUCAGACAGAAAAUCCAGAAAAGCCACGUUAUUUAACAGAACCCUACAAGGUCAGCUUUGAGUCAAAGCAGGACGGAGCCCUGACAGCAAUGUUUGCUACGGCCUCCCUCUGCAGUCAGCCUAAAGCAAGGAGCUGGAGGUAGAUGAGGCAAAGGUAAAGGAGACCAAAACAGUAUUUUAAAGAAAAAAUCAUUUAUCUUCAAAUAGGCUCCAAACCUAAGAUGGUGUAUACUGUUAGAGGACAAGAACCUGCUUCUAGCCAUCUUUGCGUCUCCAGGACCUGACUUGUGACCAUUCAAUAAGAAUUUGAUAGAUGGACAGAUUAAUGAAUAGAUGAAGAUGAUUAGAAGCCAAAAUUUCUGAAUCUUCCUAGCAUCCAGAACAUGGCUUAACAUCAAGGAAAUGCUCACUAAAUACUGUCAUAAUGGAAUGAAUGGAACCGAUGCCUAAUUGAAAAUCAUUAGGCUGUAAACCAUUUCCAUGUUCCAAUUUCUU